GCUGCCGCCGAGGGCGCCGGUCCUUCGGUAGGGCGGGGGCUCGGGGAGCGGGGCCUCGCGGGGCCGUUGGCUCUCUGCCGUCGUCGGCGUGGAGCCUCUCCUCGGGCCCCGCUGAGCAGAGGCUGAUCCUGCCCGAGGCUCUCGUCAGAGAGGAGCUGCCGUGGCUCGGAGGUGCCCGAUGUGUUGGGCGCAGCCGGUGGGGUGCUGUGGGCCAUCAGAAGUGGUGGUGUGUCCAUCUGGCAUGUGGUGUCCCACAAGAGUCGUCUGGCUUGUCCUGUCCUGGUGCUGAGUUCACACUGCUGUGGGACCCAUGGGGAGCAGACUGGGGUUAAAAUGUGACCCUUACUGUUUCCUGGACAUCUGCUUUGGAGUCAGUAGUUUGGGAUUGCUGGUUUGGGGGAAUCCAGACAGCCCUUGAGAUGCAGAAAUGUGGUGUUACUUGGCAGAGCAAAAUGUCAUCAAUUUAAUUCAAAGGACAGACUGCAGAUCAUAGAACCACAGAAUGAAAAAGUGGAAAAGGCUACUAAACGAUCAUCCAGUCCAACUGCCAACCCAUCCCCACCGUGCCCGCUGACCAUGUCCCUCAGUAACACAUCUUCCUGUUUCUUGAGCACCUCUAGGGAUGGUGACCCUACCACCUUCCUGGACAGCCUAUGCCACUGCCUCAUUGUUCUUUCAGAGAAUAAAUGUUUCCUAGCAGCCAACCCGAACCUCUGCUGGCACAAUGUGAGGCCAUCCCCUCUUGUUCUACAGCCGUUCCCUGGGAGCAGAGGCCGACCCCGCCUCACACAGCCUCCUUCCAGGUCAUUGCAGAGAGCCACGAGGUCUCCCCUGAGCCUCCUCCAGACUGACCAUCCCUGGUUCCCUCAGCCGCUCCCCAUCACAUUUAUGCCCCAGACCCCUCCUAGCUCUGCUGCCCUUCUCUGGACACGCUCCAGGCCCUCGGUGUCUUUCUUGCAGUGAGGGCCCAGCACUGAGCGCAGCACUCGAGGUGCAGCCUCACCGGUGCAGAGGGAUGGUCACCUCCUGCUGCUACUGGCCACACUCCCGCUGACACAAGCCGGGGUGCCGUUGGCCUUCUUGGCCACCUGGGCACACUGCUGGCUCACGUUCAGCCAGCUGUCAGCUAACAGCCCUGCAGCCUUUAUGUCCGCACAGCUUGCCAGCCACCGCCCCAAGGCUGCAGCGCUGCGUGGGGCUUGUGUGACCGAAGUAAAGCACCUGGCGCUUGGUCUUGUUGUAGCUCAUACAAUUGGCCUCUGCCCAUUGAUCCAGUCUAUCCAGACGUAGGUCCCCACUGCCCUCAGGAAGAUCAACACUUUCUCACAACUUACUGUCAUAUGCAAACUUACUAAGUGUGCAUUCAAUCCCCUUGUCCAGAUAAUAAAUAAAAAUACUAACCAGG